AACGAACGCUGGCGGCGUGCCUAACACAUGCAAGUCGAACGAGAAAGGGGCUUCGGCUCCGAGUAAAGUGGCGCACGGGUGAGUAACACGUGGGUAACCUGCCUCUAAGAUUGGGAUAACUCGUCGAAAGAUGAGCUAAUACCGAAUAAGACCACAGUUCCCGCGGGAACAGAGGUCAAAGGUAGCCUCUGCUUGCAAGCUAUCACUUAGAGAUGGGCCUGCGCACCAUUAGCUAGUUGGUAGGGUAACGGCCUACCAAGGCAAAGAUGGUUAGCUGGUCUGAGAGGAUGAUCAGCCACACUGGAACUGAGACACGGUCCAGACUCCUACGGGAGGCAGCAGUGGGGAAUAUUGCGCAAUGGGCGAAAGCCUGACGCAGCAACGCCGCGUGAGUGAUGAAGGCCUUCGGGUCGUAAAGCUCUGUCGGGAGGAACGAAUGCUCCUGAGGUUAACAGCCUCAGGAGGUGACGGUACCUUCAAAGGAAGCACCGGCUAACUCUGUGCCAGCAGCCGCGGUAAUACAGAGGGUGCAAGCGUUGUUCGGAAUCAUUGGGCG
rnacentral:rRNA from 1 species